CGGAGUUUGGUAUCCUGGCGUCAGGACGAACGCUGGCGGCGUGGCUUAACACAUGCAAAGUCGAACGGAAAGGGACCCUGCUUUUGUGGGGUGCGUCGAGUGGCGAACGGGUGAGUAACACGUGAGUAACCUGCCUUGACUUUGGGAUAACUUCAGGAAACUGGGGCUAAUACCGGAUAGGAGCUCCUGCUGCAUGGUGGGGGUUGGGAAAGUUUCGGCGGUUGGGGAUGGACUCGCGGCUUAUCAGCUUGUUGUGGGGGUAGUGGCUUACCAAGGCUUUGACGGGUAGCCGGCCUGAGAGGGUGACCGGCCACAUUGGGACUGAGAUACGGCCCGAGACUCCUACGGGAGGCAGCAGUGGGGAAUAUUGCACAAUGGGCGGAAGCCUGAUGCAGCAACGCCGCGUGCGGGAUGACGGCCUUCGGGUUGUAAACCGCUUUCGCCUGUGACGAAGCGUGAGUGACGGUAAUGGGUAAAGAAGCACCGGCUAACUACGUG
rnacentral:rRNA from 1 species